rnacentral:rRNA from 1 species
AACGAACGCUGGCGGCAUGCCUAACACAUGCAAGUCGAACGAAGCCUUCGGGCUUAGUGGCGCACGGGUGCGUAACGCGUGGGAAUCUGCCCUUGGGUUCGGAAUAACAGUUAGAAAUGACUGCUAAUACCGGAUGAUGUCUUCGGACCAAAGAUUUAUCGCCCAAGGAUGCGCCCGCGUGGGAUUAGGUAGUUGGUGGGGUAAUGGCCCACCAAGCCGACGAUCCUUAACUGGUCUGAGAGGACGAUCAGCCACACUGGGACUGAGAACCGGCCCAGACUCCGACGGGAUGCAGCGGUGUGAAAUAUUAGACUAGGGGCGAAAACCUAAUCGAUCAAUGCCAGUUGAGUAAUGAAGGCCUUAGUGUUAUAAAGCUCUGUUACCAUGGAUGAUAAAUACAUUACCUGGAGAAUAAGCUCCGGCUAACACCGAGCCAGCAGCCGCCGUAA